UUGAACUGUUGACACGAGUUGUUGCUGGCCCUCAAAUGGGGGCAUGUGCACGCUCUGUUUACAAAUCCACUCACACCUGUGCACCCUCUGUAGUUCUGUGGCUGGGGGACUCUGUCCUCCUGCUGCGGUUCUAUGUCUUUACACACACACACAGUGACAAAGUCUAAUGGGAUGUAUGUGGCGUUUAACGCAAUAUAAUA
rnacentral:misc_RNA from 1 species